rnacentral:rRNA from 1 species
UACGUAGGGUGCAAGCGUUGUCCGGAAUUACUGGGCGUAAAGAGCUCGUAGGUGGUUUGUCGCGUUGUCCGUGAAAACUCACAACUCAAUUGUGGGCGUGCGGGCGAUACGGGCAGACUGGAGUACUGCAGGGGAGACUGGAAUUCCUGGUGUAGCGGUGGAAUGCGCAGAUAUCAGGAGGAACACCGGUGGCGAAGGCGGCUCUCUGGGCCUGACCUGACGCUGAGGAGCGAAAGCGUGGGGAGCGAACAGG